GACGAACCGUGCGAACGUUAUUCGGAAUCACUGGGCUUAAAGGGCGCGUAGGCGGGCCGCCAAGUCAGGGGUGAAAGCCUCCGGCUCAACCGGAGAAGUGCCUUUGAUACUGGCGGCCUAGAGGGAGGUAGGGGCCUGCGGAACUUCCGGUGGAGCGGUGAAAUGCGUAGAGAUCGGAAGGAACGCCGGUGGCGAAAGCGGCACGCUGGACCUCUUCUGACGCUGAGGCACGAAAGCUAGGGUAGCAAACGGG
rnacentral:rRNA from 1 species